UCAAGCUGUAAAGGGCGCAAGGGGAAUGCCUUGGCACUGAGAGCCGAUGAAGGACGCGACAAGCUGCGAUAAGCUUCGGGGAGCCGCAAAUGGGCUUUGAUCCGAAGAUUUCCGAAUGGGGAAACCCGGCAGAGCAAUACUCUGUCAACCAUAACUGAAUUCAUAGGUUAUGGUAGGGAACCUGAACUGAAACAUCUAAGUAGGGCGAGGAAAAGAAAUCAACCGAGAUUCCGCUAGUAGUGGCGAGCGAACGCGGAAGAGGCCAAACCGGAGAGAGCAAUCUUUCCGGGGUUUGGACAGCAAUGUGUAGUCAUAGACUUAGCCAAAUGCGUUGGGAAGCGCAGCGAUACAGGGUGACAGCCCCGUAGGCAAAAGGAAAGUGACGCUAGCUGUAUCCAGAGUACCACAGGACACGUGAAACCCUGUGGGAAUGUGGGGGGACCAUCCUCCAAGCCUAAAUACUACUCAGUGACCGAUAGAGAAGCAGUACCGUGAGGGAAAGGUGAAAAGGACCCCGGGAGGGGAGUGAAAGAGAACCUGAAACCUUGUGCCUACAAGCACCGAGAGCUCGUUAAUGAGUGAUCGGGUACUUUUUGUAGAACGGUCCGGCGAGUUAAUGUAAGUAGCAAGCUUAAGGAACUGGAGUUCUGGAGGCGCAGCGAGAGCGAGUCUGAAUAGGGCGACAUAGUUACUUGCAUUAGACCCGAAACCGGGUGACCUAUCCAUGAGCAGGUUGAAGCGGUGGUAAGACACCGUGGAGGACCGCACCCACGUCCGUUGAAAAGGCCGGGGAUGACUUGUGGAUAGCGGAGAAAUUCCAAUCGAACUCGGAUAUAGCUGGUUCUCCCCGAAAUAGCUUUAGGGCUAGCGUUAUGAUAGAUUACUGGAGGUAAAGCACUGAAUGGGCUAGGGGCCGCGAGGUUACUGAACCCUAUCAAACUAAGAAUGCCAGAUAAUCGUUUCAUAGCAGUCAGACUACGUGAGAUAAGUCUCGUGGUCAAAAGGGAAACAGCCCAGAUCCGCAGCUAAGGUCCCAAAUAGAUGCUAAGUGGAAAAUGAUGUGAAACUGCGAAAACAACCAGGAUGUUGGCUUAGAAGCAGCCACUCAUUCAAAGAGUGCGUAAUAGCUCACUGGUCGAGUGGUUUUGCGCAGAAAAUGUAACGGGGCUAAGCAUCUAACCGAAGCUCGGGCAGUAGAUAAUACUGGGUAGGGGAGCGUUGUGUAAGAGACGAAGUCAGAGCGAGAGCACUGGUGGAUUUUACACAAGUGAGAAUGCCGGAAUAAGUAGCGAGAAUUAUGUGAGAAUCAUAAUGGCCGAAAAUCUAAGGUUUCUUGGGGAAGGUUCGUCCGCCCAAGGUUAGUCGGGAGCUAAGGCGAGGCCUAACGGCGUAGUCGAUGCACAUACGGUAGAAAUUCCGUAACCACCGAACUUUAAGCAUAAGGGACGCUUUCAUUAAGGUUAUCCCGGGCGAUGGUUGCCCCGGGCGUAAGGGACCGAAAAAUAGUAGGGAAGUAACUGGCGUGAGAGACGAGAAAAGCUUAUGUGUAUACUAAGGUGCCCGUACCGCAAACCGACACAGGUAGAUGGGAUGAGUAUUCUAAGGCCAACGGGAGAAGGGUUGUUAAGGAACUCGGCAAAUUGGCCCCGUAACUUCGGGAUAAGGGGCGCCUGCGAGAGCAGGCCGCAGUGAAAAGGCCCAAGCGACUGUUUAGCAAAAACACAGCUCUCUGCUAAAUCGAAAGAUGACGUAUAGGGGGUGACGCCUGCCCGGUGCUGGAAGGUUAAGGGGAGCGCUUAGCGCAAGCGAAGGUGUGAACUUAAGCCCCAGUAAACGGCGGCCGUAACUAUAACGGUCCUAAGGUAGCGAAAUUCCUUGUCAGGUAAGUUCUGACCCGCACGAAU
rnacentral:rRNA from 1 species